GACGAACGCUGGCGGCGUGCUUAACACAUGCAAGUCGAGCGGUAAGGCCCUUUCGGGGGUACACGAGCGGCGAACGGGUGAGUAACACGUGGGUGACCUGCCCUCAGCUCUGGGAUAAGCCUGGGAAACCGGGUCUAAUACUGGAUAUGACUCCAUGACGCAUGUUGGUGGGGUGGAAAGCCUUGUGCGGCUGAGGAUGGGCCCGCGGCCUAUCAGCUUGUUGGGUGGGGUGANGGCCUACCAAGGCGACGACGGGUAGCCGGCCUGAGAGGGCGACCGGCCACACUGGGACUGAGACACGGCCCAGACUCCUACGGGAGGCAGCAGUGGGGAAUCUUGCGCAAUGGGCGAAAGCCUGACGCAGCGACGCCGCGUGAGGGAUGACGGCCU
rnacentral:rRNA from 1 species